UGACGGACAGCCUGCCUGUCCCGCCUCUCCCCCCUCCCUUCCCCCGGCAGCCGGGGGCGGCCCCGCCGGCAGCGCCUGCGACCGUCGGACCCAAGAUCUUCCCGGCCCUGCGGCCGAAGUGGCCUCGCGGCCACUCCCUAGACGCACCCGGGGCAGUCUGAUGGCCCCGUCACAGAACACCGCCCAAACUAAAGACACCUUCAGUCACAGUAGAGCCUGUCUGACGGAUGUUGAGCCAGACAAAGCAGGACCACGUACUGCGUUUCAGAGAAGGAAAAACUGAGGCCCGGAGACAUUAAGCUAAGAGGCGGCAGAAAUGGGAUUCAGGCCCAUCCAGAGUCCACAUCACAUUGCCUUCCACCUAGACCCUGCUUCACCUCUACUGAUCGCCGCUCUUGCGGGGCCCAGAUGUUGAGGCAGGAGAGCUGGACUUCAGGGACACUGUCAUUGCCUCUCUGCAGGCAGAGAAGGGGAGCACCCUUGCUAGCUGCUGUGGCCCAGGCCAGGCCUGCUGCGACUGCCCAGGAAGUCCUUCACAGCUGUUCUUGACCAGCAUCUAGUUGCUCUGCACCGGCCCUCAGAAGAACAGUCCUUGCCAGAAAAGACCAUCCAGGAUGUCCCAAUGCGUUUGCAGUGUGCACGGCAGAAGACAGGACUCUCUGAAGUGUGCAAUGUAGGAACCGCGUGAGAGCUGACAUCACCCUUCCCAAGCCAGCAGGGGGCCUUCAAGAAGGGCGUGGUGCUUAC